UCCGAGUUGUCCCCGGCAGUCCCCUUAGAGUCCCCGGCAUUACCCGCUGGCAACUAAGGGCAGGGGUUGCGCUCGUUGCGGCACUUAAGCCAACACCUCACGGCACGAGCUGACGACCUGGUGCAUCCCACUGUUUCCAGGGGCCAGGACUAUACCUUCACCCGAUGUAUCGACCAUCGGGGCCGGCGUAUUGCACCACUCAUAGAUUGAGGAGCGGCGUACGUCCUCAGGAGUGAUGCCAUUGCAGUCUCUACAGGGUGCAACGACUUCUUAGAUCGCCGACGAUCUCUGUCGUGCACUUCCCUCGGUAUUGCCCGCGACUGCCCGUGACGCAGUCGGGAGGAAGGUGGGGAUGACGUAGCUAAGCCUUC
rnacentral:misc_RNA from 1 species